ensembl:lncRNA
CGGUGGCGCCGCCUUGGGUCGAAGGCGGGCACGCGCGGCCGCCAUUGUGCGGUGGGGCGGAGGCUGCGGCCCGUCGGUACCCGGCUAUCCCGAGAGGGAAAGCUGUCUCCGCGCCGGGCGCGUGGCCGUUCGCUGGAGGGGUGUACCCGGCGUGGGCCACGUGAAAGCCAUCGCGGUUUUACACUGCAUUGGAUGAAAUGUGGCUGACAUGCCAGAAGGCUGUGCUGCCAUUCAGCAGGACCUGGACAGGCUGGAGAACUAGGUGAACAAGGCCAAGAGAUUUCUGCUGCCAUGGAAUGCCAUGAGCUUCAUGCACAGAAUCCUCUGGGAUUGUCAGUCACAGCAACAGUGAAAUCAGAACUGUGGUAAGGAAAGGCAACAUGCUUACAGAAAGAGGAAUCAAUUCAAGCAAAGCAGUUAUGACCAUUUUGCACAACAAAAGCACAAACAAACCAAACUCAAAAGUAAAACAAGGAAUACAGAAGAAACUAAAUAGGACUGUGGACUAAUUUUGACAGAAUUCAAUGGUAAACACUGAGAUAGGAUGCCACAGGAUGCUAAGGGGUCUUCCCUCUAACAUGCAGAUGAGAGGAGGCAAGAAUGCUAUUCAAUUUAAAAAUCACUUCAGAAGCCACAUAAGUUUGUCUGUUAGAUGCUUAAAUGCUGAUGUCUCUACUUUCACUAUAUUUAGCAUACACUUCUAGCAAAUUACAUUGCCACGUUCUUCUUCACCUUUGGACCACUUUUGGGAAGUUGCCUGAGGACCUCUAUUGCAUGUGGCAGUCUGAGAUUGGCACUGGCCUUACACAGGCAGCUCAGCAGCACCCAAAUCCUCAUCAUUGCUGCCAAACAAGACUUCAAACAGGCCUCAGCAUGUGUUGUGGGUCCUAAGAUGAGAAGACACAGGAAAGAGCUCUGCCCUGACAGAAAAAAGAAGUGAAAUGGGAUCCUCAUUCUUACUUUUUCCUCCAGAUUAAGCAAACUUCCCACGUUCUGUUGUCUUGUGAUAGAUCUGAACUUCACAAAAUC